rnacentral:lncRNA from 11 species
GGAGCAGCCGCAGCAGCAGCAGCGAACGCAUUCCUCGCGGCGGCUGAUCGCCUCGCUGGCUGCCUGUGUCGCUCCCUCUCUCUGCUGGACAGCGCUUCGCUUACCUGGUGGGGUUUUCACGGGAAACGAGCCCAGGAACCCAGUGGAGGUCCAAUAAUGCAAUGGAUGAAGAAAAAGGACAUUUCAGAGUAGUUUAUUGGAUGCCUUGGAUUUUAA